AUGAUGACUUUAGAACCGAGGAGCAGGUGCAUCGCUGCUCGCGCUCCCGUUGCCAUUUUCGAUGCCGGUUCGAGGACACCACACACCCCGACCCCCCUUGUGCUCUCCUCACCCCCCAACCCGACAGCAGCAGCGGGAGGCGGCGCAAAGAGCCGUGCGGGGGCGGCUCCGGCCGGGCAGCGCUGCGGGGCUCACCUGGGGCUGCCGCCGGCGGUUCAGCACAGACAGCUCCCGGCACAGACAGCUCCAGCUCCCGGCACAGGCAGCUCCAGCUCCCGGCACAGGCAGCUCCAGCUCCCGGCACAGGCAGCUCCAGCUCCCGGCACAGGCAGCUCCAGCUCCCGGCACAGACAGCUCCAGCUCCCGGCACAGGCAGCUCCCGGCCGCUGCCGAGCGCGAAAUGGCGACCUCCGGGCACCCGGCAGGGGCCGCGCCGGGCGGAAUCGCCGCCACACGCCGAGCCGAGCCGGUGUGGGCCGUGCCGCUCCACAGCCGCACAGCCGGGCCCACCGCGCCGCUCUUCGCCGGCAGCUGCCACCUCCGGCGCCCGCCCCCCGCACCUGCAGCCCGAGCUGCCUCCGCCUCCCCGUCAGGUGCUUCGAGCCCGGCACCUGCCGCCGGGUUCCGCACCGCGCCCGGAGGGCAGCUCCCGCUCAGCUCCCGCUCAGCUCCCGCUCAGCUCCCCGCCGCCGGGGCUGGGUGAGGGGGACGACGCGGUACUCACAGAAACUGCGGCCCCUCCACCCGACAGUCAGUCAGUCAGUCAAUCGAUGGAGACCCGCGGCCGCGCGCCUCCUCCUGCCGCACGCCCGGCAACCCAGCGAGAAGAGCGGCGGCGGGCGCGCUCCCGCGCCUAUCACCUCCCCGCCGCCCCCGCCCGGCCCUACCGGGACGCGCGCUCCCGCGGGGGGAGGGAAGGAGCGCGCCUGCGCUAGAGCGCGCGGCGGGCGGAGGAGGGAGUGGGGACGGCGCGGAGCCGGGUCCCUCGCACCUGAGGCGGAGGGGCGGCCGCCUCCAUCUUGGGCAGCGCCCCGCUCCUGUUUGUAG
rnacentral:lncRNA from 1 species